UCGUGCUACAGGGGAUAUUCGUCGAGGAAUGCGCCUCAGCGAAUCGGCUUUUUGUAAGAGCCAUGAAAGUAUAAUUUGCAAGGGAUUUUGGUUACUUACCCAAGAAAUGAGCUGAGGUGGAUUAGUGUUGAUGAUGCAGGAGAGAAGAAGAGGGUAAGUGGUGGCUGCUGCUUAUGUAUUCGAUGACUCUUCCUCCGCCCUCUCAUCAUCUGGUUGGGCCUCUCUCUUACCAAAUGAGUUUUGGUCGACCACCAUCAGUCUGGAUUUCCAAUAAUUAUUGUAGGGCCGUUUAUUUUCUUCCCCAAAGAAAGAAUUGUCUUUUCCGCUGUUGCAGCAGCAAUAGCAAUGACAAUAAUAUGAGUUUUACCAUUGAAGGACGCAAUUUGAGUUUCUCUGUUACAAUGAGGAAGAGGCAUCUUAGUGGUGGUCAGGUGGAGGAGGUGGUUCCAAUACUCAACCACUGUUCCAUCCGGAUUCCCACUGGACAGUUAUGGAUGCUUCUCGGACCCAAUGGAUGUGGCAAAUCAACCCUUCUCAAGGUCUUGGCAGGGCUCCUAAGUCCAACUGAUGGAUAUGUGUGCAUCAAGAGGCCAAAGAGCUUUGUUUUCCAAAAUCCAGAUCACCAGGUAGUGAUGCCUACCGUAGAAGCAGACGUUGCUUUUGGUCUUGGCAAGUUCGAUUUGACCCCAGAUGAAGUUAGAAGCAGAGUGAAAAAUGCUUUAGAGGCUGUGGGCAUGUCAGAAUACUUGCGAAGGCCUGUUCAAACUCUCAGUGGCGGUCAGAAACAGAGGGUUGCCAUUGCAGGGGCUUUGGCUGAAUCCUGUGAAGUGCUAUUAUUAGAUGAACUUACAACAUUUUUGGAUGAAAACGAUCAGGUAUUCAUAUCUAUGAAAAGCUAGGAUGUGGGUUUUUCCAUUCCAUGAUGAUAUGUUUUGCUAAUGAGGGAUGGCAUUGCUUCAUACAUUUCAUUCUUAGAUGCUUCAGGUGACCGAUAAAGUGCCAUUAUACAUUGAAGUUCUUUAUUCACUCUUCUUGAAUAUCAAUCUUAGCCUGGCAUAAGCAGUCAUCCCUACAAUCUUUCUCCAUUUCUUGGCUGCAACAGUGCGGUGUUUCCAGCUAUGAAAGAUAUGGAAAGAAGCCAAUUCAACUUAUUUUCACAAUGUCCAUUGUACAGAUGCGCAGGGACAUAUGUUCACCUGUAGAUGAGUAUUCAAGUGAACAAGAAAGGAAAAUCAUGUACACUCGCAAACACAUUCAUAUUUUGCUCUAAUGACGAUUUAAACAUAUUCCAAAUGACAUCUCUCAAAAGAAGAAGAAGAAGAAGAAGAAGAAGAAGAAGAAGAAAGAAGAAAGAAAAAAAUAAAAUAAAAAAAUCCAAAUGGCACUUGUCCCAAAAUUUAAUGUUUAAACAAUUCCUCUAAAGCUGAAAGUGAUAGUUCUUUUGUCUAAAUCAUUCCUGCUCAUGCGUGAGGGGUGCAUGUUCAUCAUUGACAGCUUUUCAACAAGGAUUUUCUUUCUCUUUAAGUAGCUCUGAUCACAAUGUUGACCUGCAUGACACCAAGUAUUUCAUCCGAAGAGUGCAAUUCUUUCUGCAAUCUUGAAUGAACUAGCAAGACAGAUAAAUAUUUAUUAGUUCACUAAGGGCUCCUAGUUGAAUUCAUUGGUCUUGAGCCUGCAGUUAAUAAUAUUUGGUACUUAUGUGUGGGGUUAGCUAGGUUACAGGUUUCUCUACUUUUGGUUAAUAUCAUAAUAAGGGAAGGUGAUGCAGGACCGAUGCAUGAACCAAAUAACAUGUGAGAUCAAGUAGCAGAAUUAAGACAAUUAACCAAAAAACACAAGCAUUGACAUAAUCAUCACGAAUCCCACGGAAACCAAAAGAACAUCACGCAUGAUCCUAGCCUAAGUUACCAACAUUGUCAUACAAGUUCAUUAAAUAAAAGGAAAUUAGGAUCUAAUGGAUGUAGGAAAUUAGCAUAGGAUAUAGUCUAUUUCAAAGUAGAAGGCCUAAUACAACCUAGGGUAAAAAAUUAGGGUUUGGUAAUUUAGGAAAGUAGGAAAAUUAGGAAUUUAGGUUUAGGGUUAGGGUUUUGGGAAUGGAAGAAAGGGAUUUUGAUAUAAGGAUGAUAAAAGACCAAAAGGGGCAAGGUGUGACAGUACGA